rnacentral:lncRNA from 11 species
CUCUCCACUAGCAGCCUCUUUCUCCAGUCUCCCCCUCUCUCUCAUUGUGUCUGUCUGAUUUUUCAGACCAUCUUUAUUCCAUCUUCUCUCUUUCCCAGCCUAGUCUUUUCUGCAGGACAAAGCUAUAAUAUCCUCCAAGCAAAGAUUUUAAGGUGGUUGUUCCAGGCAUGAAACAAUGAAGCAGCAGGGGAGUAAGAGUAGAAGUAAUACUCUUAAUUUGGGCUUCCUCUGCCUCCCUUCCCAGUAAAGUUGCCCAGGACAAAGUACCUAGACAAAAGAGACUCUAUAGUGGACCCCUCAGAGGAAGCAGAUGUCCUGGACUUUUGAUUAUCUUUGGCAUGAAAAAUACAACAAGCAGAGGAAACACAUCGGCACAAAAGCCUGCAGUCCGGCAGCUACAUUUUCUCUGUGGGAGCAGAUUCUCAGUGUCUUCCAAGAAGGCGCAACAUGCUGCAUGCCCAGUGAGUUGGAUUUAGUAGCAAAAGAGGUUGGAGUUCUCCGGAAUGACAAAGAGACCAGAGAGCACCGAACCUAUGGCUGCUUUUGCCUUUGCUCCUCUCUGUGUAGCGAUGCCUGUCAACAUCCACCAGAGAGCAGAGCAGCUCUGAAGACCCAGGCCUUUUAUGCUUUGGAAAUCAAUGGAGACAGCUACACAGCCAGAUCUCGGCCAAACAACAUGGAUUGCAGUUCAUUUCAAAGAUAUGUUUUUACAAAACAAUGAAACAUUAUCCAUUCUACUAAAACAAUCAUCAUCAUCAUCAACAUCAUCAUCCAGGUGAAGGUUGCAAUAAUAUUCAUACCUUGCAAGCAAUUGCAAAAUAAGGCUCAUUUGGUACAUUUCUGAUUGAACAUUCCUGAGGAGGCUCAGAGGAGUUUGGUGGUUCAAUUUUGUCUGAUCAUUUUGAUCAUCCCAUCAACCUAGACUGAGGGAGGACCCUGAUACCAAACCUACUCUACCCUUCCAUGGGGUAGGCUGCAAAAAAAAGAAAGAAAAAAAAAGAAAAAAAAAAGGUAAGACAUGGAUUUAGUUAAUGUGACUCUUUAUUUGUGAAUAUAUAGUAUUCAUUAUUACUUUCCUGUAUGUAUGUUUGUUGGUUGUUAUAUUUAGUAUCUGGUUUUAUUUCUGUUCUCACAGACUCAGGGCCCUUCUACACAGCUAUAUAAAAUCCAGAUUAUCUGCUUUGAACUGAAUUAUCUGGCAGUGUAGACUUAGGGCCCUUCCACACAGCCAUAUAACCCAGAAUAU